GACGAACGCUGGCGGCGUGCUUAACACAUGCAAGUCGAACGGAAAGGCCCUGCCAUUGUGGGGUGCUCGAGUGGCGAACGGGCGAGUAACACGAAAGUAACCUGCCCUUGACUUAGGGAUAACUCCAGGAAACUGGGGCGAAUACCGGAUAGGAGCCCCUGCUGCAUGGUGGGGGGUGGAAAGUUUCCCCGGCUGGGGAUGGUCUCCCGGCUGUACAGAUUGUUUGUGGGGCAGUGGCUUACCAUGGCUUUGACGGGUAGCCGGCCUGAGAGGGUGACCUGCCACCUUGGGACAGUGACUCUGCCUAGCCUGCUACGGGGACCAGCGGUUGGGAAUAUUCCACUAUGGGCGGAAGCCUGAUGCUGCAACGCCGCCUGCGGGAUAACGGCCUUCGCGUUGCAACCCGCGUUCGCCUGGGACGAACCGUGGGUGACCGUAAUGUGUCAAGAAGCUCCCGCUACCCAGUUG
rnacentral:rRNA from 1 species